rnacentral:rRNA from 1 species
AUUGAACGCUGGCGGCAGGCCUAACACAUGCAAGUCGAACGAGUGGCGGACGGGUGAGUAAUGUCUGGGAAACUGCCCGAUGGAGGGGGAUAACUACUGGAAACGGUAGCUAAUACCGCAUACCAUCGGAUGUGCCCAGAUGGGAUUAGCUAGUAGGUGGGGUAACGGCUCACCUAGGCGACGAUCCCUAGCUGGUCUGAGAGGAUGACCAGCCAAACUGGAACUGGGACACGGUCCAGACUCCUACGGGAGGCAGCAGUGGGGAAUAUUGCACAAUGGGCGCAAGCCUGAUGCGGCCAGGCCGCGUAGAGGAAAAGGGCCUUCGGGUUGUAAAGUACUUUCUGCGAGAAGGCGUUACUCGCAGAAGAAGCACCGGCUAACUCCGUGCCAGCAGCCGCGGUAAUAC